rnacentral:rRNA from 1 species
ACGGGUGAGUAACGCGUGGGUAACCUACCCUGUACACACGGAUAACAUACCGAAAGGUAUGCUAAUACGGGAUAAUAUAUUUGAGAGGCAUCUCUUAAAUAUCAAAGGUGAGCCAGUACAGGAUGGACCCGCGUCUGAUUAGCUAGUUGGUAAGGUAACGGCCUACCAAGGCGACGAUCAGUAGCCGACCUGAGAGGGUGAUCGGCCACAUUGGAACUGAGACACGGUCCAAACUCCUACGGGAGGCAGCAGUGGGGAAUAUUGCACAAUGGGCGAAAGCCUGAUGUAGCAACGCCGCGUGAGUGAUGAAGGCCUUCGGGUCGUAAAACUCUGUCCUCAAGGAAGAUAAUGACGGUACUUGAGGAGGAAGCCCCGGCUAACUACGUGCCAGCAGCCGCGGUAAUACGUAGGGGGCUAGCGUUAUCCGGAUUUACUGGGCGUAAAGGGUGCGUAGGCGGUCUUUCAAGUCAGGAGUGAAAGGCUACGGCUCAACCGUAGUAAGCUCUUGAAACUGGGAGACUUGAGUGCAGGAGAGGAGAGUGGAAUUCCUAGUGUAGCGGUGAAAUGCGUAGAUAUUAGGAGGAACACCAGUUGCGAAGGCGGCUCUCUGGACUGUAACUGACGCUGAGGCACGAAAGCGUGGGGAGCAAACAGGAUUAGAUACCCUGGUAGUCCACGCUGUAAACGAUGAGUACUAGGUGUCGGGGGUUACCCCCCUCGGUGCCGCAGCUAACG